AGAUCUUGUCACAGAGCUGCUAUAUAGAAGAAAAUCAAGUCAAGAAGCACAACCAAGGAACAAAUUUCUGGGGGAAGGCAGAAGCAAGAAUGUUCUCAGCUAGGCUUGCUGCUGUGACAUGGAACACACUGAAGAGUCAUUAGACUUCUAGCUACCCACUUGAGAAGUUUCUUAAGAAUCCCUUCAAAAUCAGAAAUAUCAGAGCGUGUCAUUACUGUAUUUGUACUACUGACAGUGAGGAAGAAGGAAUCUUUAUGGAUCUUACUGAACCUGUGGUGAGUGAACUUGAUGCAGCUUUAGCAGUUCAUUGGUCAACCAGAAGCAGAAAUACUUCCCACAGUUCCAUUAAAUUUAAAAAAAAAAAAAAAUAAUAAAAAAAAAUUCAAUGGCUGUUACCAAAAAUUCAGAAGUAUGCAGCUGUUACCAGUGAAGUGACUAAAUGGGCUACAUGACACACCACUUCGGCUGGAACGAAACUGAUCAAAUUGCAGUGACAUGGAAGUCAAUUCUUCAUCUCUCUACCUCCUGAAGACCUCUUUGUAGAAAGAAGCAUGUGGAGCUACUGAAUCAAGCCCAUGAAGAAAAGAUAGGUGACUGAGGGUUAGAAGAGGAGUUUGGAUGUCAAGUUCAAGCUUUCCUUCCUGACUUCUCCAUGGAUGCGCUUUGUCACGUGGCUCAACAUUCUUGGAGCUGAGAAGAUGGAGUUCUCUAAUUUUGCACACUGGUGCUCGCAAUUGCUGGAGAGUAAUUUCUUCUUGACUGUACUUCCCUGCACAGACUGACUUUGUCUUUUACCUUGUUGCCUUCUGAAGGGCAGUCAGACAUUGCAUUCAAGGCUGAGUGUCCCACCUGUUGUAGAGUUUGGAGGCAUAGUCCUUCUCUCAACCCAAAGGUACCACAGUUGAGUUUCAUCUAAGUCAUCUAGUUUUCUCCAUAGGCCAGUAGAGAAGAAUAGAAAUUUCUUGCCUGAAAAUACAAAUAAGUCAUUACUUAAGGUGUCUGAUUUUUCCUCCUUGUAUUAAACAAGCAAAACAAAUAAUUAAACAAACAAUGAAACAAAAGAAAAAAACUCCAUACACUCCAAUAAAAGAAAAAGAAAACAGCAGAGGUGAUGAGCUCAGAUAUCUGCAUCGGAGCAUUCCAGAGUUUAAUGGGAUUAAACUGUACCUCAGUUUCCCUAUGAAUAAACUAUAACAAUAGGACAUCAAUAACAGUAUAUCAAAUUAGAGUGUUGACACCCACUUCUUUAUGUGAAUGUGUUGUCUGCUUAGACAGAAUAACUCUUCAAAACAGAUGGCAAAAGGAAAAUGUUCUCUCUGUAUGUUAUGCUGCCUAUUUCCAGCAGGAUUUCGUUACUGAAGUAACCACAUUUCUUUGCACUGAGUUGCAAGGCAAAGAUCGGAUGGGACAGACCUGCCUGCACAUCUAGGAAUUGCUCCCAGUCACACAGAUGUAUUUCUGAAUAGAAAUGCAAUAGAAAAACAGUGUUGUUUCAAAAGACAUCAGCUUCUAGAAGGCCCCUGUUGGAUCUGUAAGCGAGUGGAUUGAGGAGCAUCAGAUAAUUCAUUUAUUCACAGAUUCUAAGAGUGAAAGGGUUGCAUUUUGAUCAUCAGGUCAGCUGUUUGGUGUAACGUCAGUUUCCCUUCGUCUACAUUUGUUCAGCUGUUCAACUAGAAUAUAUGUUUCAGAAGAAAACCAUACCAGACUGCAGAAUUCCUAGCUUCAUGUCUGAUCAGACAUUGUAAAGGAGUUUUUCUCAUUAAUUAAUGCUCUGUUGAAAUCAUUAUGCCUAUUUGCUAUGGAAAGAUUUAUCAAGAAAUUCACUGGAGCAGCUAACCUUGCUGUCAUGGAUUUGGUUACCCUUCCUUUUGCCUCAUUCCUGGUCCUCAAGGUUUCAGCAAAUUUCUCCCCAACUCUCAGCUUCCUGGUGAAUUUUCUAUCCCCUCUCAUUCGUGGGGUGUGACAGGAUAAUAGCAGCAAUCCAGUC
rnacentral:lncRNA from 7 species